rnacentral:lncRNA from 1 species
AAAGUUUCAUAAACUAGAUACAUAAAAUAACAUCAACAAAUUAAGUCAAACUCAAUUUGUCCCUAAACCUAACUAAUUUCUAGAUGCUUGCCAUUCAUCGAACAUUUGGUUGGCUAGUUCCAUCCUCCAAGUAGCCCAAGCAUCCGAUGGAUGAAUAUUUGUGAUAUUCGAUUCAUCAUCAUCCACCACAUUACUAGGUAAUCCUUCUCCCACCUCCGCUUCAAUGGGAUCAAUACUCAUAUGGGUUCGAAUAAAAUUAUGGAGCAAACAACAUGCAAUAAUAAUUCUAUUGUGCACCCUUACAGGAUAAAACGAUGGACUCCUAAG